ensembl:ncRNA F43G9.18 ncRNA
CACUGAACCAUCACAUAGAAUCUUUGCUUCUUCUUGAUUUUCCUCUCAUUGAUCAUCUGUCGGAUGAGCUGUUCCACGGAGAACACUCUGAUCUGAAAUGAAAAGUUAUUAGUAAUUAAGCAUCUUCAAGUACCGUACCUUAAGAGUA